UACGAAGGGUGCUAGCGUUGCUCGGAAUCACUGGGCGUAAAGGGUGCGUAGGCGGGGCUUUAAGUAAGGGGUGAAAUCCUGGAGCUCAACUCCAGAACUGCCUUUGAUACUGAAGAUCUUGAGUUCGGGAGAGGUGAGUGGAACUGCGAGUGUAGAGGUGAAAUUCGUAGAUAUUCGCAAGAACACCAGUGGCGAAGGCGGCUCACUGGCCCGAUACUGACGCUGAGGCACGAAAGCGUGGGGAGCAAACAGG
rnacentral:rRNA from 1 species